CCCGGUUUCUCCCGUCGGCCAAGCCUGCCUCUUUAUUUGCUCUAUGGGCCGCAGCUCAUCGUCUUUUUUUUUCUAUUUUUCUCUCCUUCUCGCUUGGGCUAGUCUCUCCUUUGGCCCAUCUUCUCCCCAGCGCCCCAGCCCAGCCUCGCACGAGAGCCCUUCGUCUUCCUCCUCUCUGCUCGCUCAGAACAGAGGCACGCACAAGCUGCACGCCGCCGCCUUGGCUUCCCCUUCGAUGCUCUUGGUCCCGACCGUUAAUCUACAAACCGAAACCACCAAAAUAAUCUCCAUCAUCUCACGAACCGAUUCAGGCUUUUAAUCUUCAGUUUCGUGUCUUCAAUUCUCCAUUGAAACGGACGCCCCGGAUGCCGGCUGUUGGCAUUCGUUUUCCCGAUCUCCCACCACAGCCCGCAAAUCAUUAUCCCGAGCGUGUCUCGUUGAGCCUCUUCCUCUCCCCCUUCGUUUCCUUGUCCAGAGUUUCGCCUAAGAACCAUUGUAGAGCCCGUGCCAUCAUCAUCUUGAACCAUUGUAGAGCCCGUGCCAUCAUCAUCUUCCCCGCUGGCCGCCGUCGCCAUUCUCGAAGGUGAGCUCGCAAGGUAUCUCCGUUCUGCAAUUCCUCGCAUUUGGGAACUCACGUAAUCUCCUUCUAUCUUUCCCAUGUAUCCGAUGCUUUUGGCCUCGUCAUCCCUAAUCCAUGCCGCCACAGCACCACGGUUGACGGAUUCCGGCGAAACCGACCACUGAAGGCCGCGUCCUCGCGCCAGUAGAAUCUGCACGUCAUCCUGGAUCCAACGCCCCAAGCUGCAGCCCGGCAGGACGACUACGCGGGACGAAUUUGGUUCACCUUCGUCAACUUCUGCCGUCCACGCCGAACGAUUCCGUCAUCUUCGAGAGGACGAGGUGGAACAGGGACAACAAGCUGAAGACAAAGAAUUCAUCAAUGAAGG